UUUAGCGUGUAACGAGGAACCCGUACUCUGAGGCCACUGUGAAAACAAAUUAUCACACUCCUUAUGGUAUACGUGAGAUACACACGCACGCUGAACCAGCGGUUACCCUUGGCGAUCAUGUGACGUAUUACUUCCGAUGUGAGACUUGCCUGUCGAUCGAAACUUCUCUUGAGGGGUGGUCGUUGUGGUCAAGAUGAUGGACAAGGAUGGCGACGUCCAGAAACAAGGCUGGUAUUCCUACUUCAUUAUCGCCCUGUCGUUCAUGACGUUGUUCCUCAACUCAAGUCUCUGUUAUGGAGUGUUCCACGUAGCGUUACUGGAGACGUACCGCGCUGAUGUUGACGUUACGGUCUGGCUUGGUUCGUUAUUCUUCAGCAUGUCCUCACUUGCAGGUCCAGUGGCAAGCUUCGUCAUCAACAUGACAGACUGUCGCACCUGUGUAGUCAUAUCUGGGAUACUAGGCCUUGUAGGUUUCU